rnacentral:lncRNA from 10 species
AGAAUGAAUGCUUUCCUCCGUUCAUGAACUGUGUAAGGCUACGUUACAAAGUCAGAUAAUGGACUGUGAAUCACCUACCAUACCGAUUAACCAUGUUUAUUUAAAGUUUUCUUAAUAUUAGACAAUUUAAUGGGGGUAGGAAAAAAGUAAACAACCAUUUCGCUUCUUCUCUUCUUCUACUUUAGCCACAUAAGCCAGUUGUAAUGGAUGAUACAGGUUUCAGCUGCAAUUUGUAAAAUAUUCCAAGAACUGCCAUAGUCCCAAGAACUAGAGAAAACUGCCACCCACAAAUAACCUACCAAAGUAAAUAUAAAUACAGUAUGAUUCUAAUUUUCUUUCAUACAAUCCCAGACAACCCCAAAUAACUUUAUAAAAAAGGAAUUUACAAAGCUAUCAAAACUAUUUAAAAUAUUUAAAGGCAGAGUGGUCAAAUUUCCUUCAAUCAGACCAGAAAUCAUCACAAAAAUUAUGAUCACAGUUACAAGCAGAAUGAAAGGAAUGUUUAAAUUUAGGACAACCAACCCCAUGUGACUUUUAAAAAUGCAAUAAUUUACUCAAAUAUACUGUAACUAGAAAUGGCAAGAAUACAGGAAGCAAAAAUAAGCUUGCGAGUGAAAUUUCUAGAAGCUCAUGGAAACCAUCCCAUCCCAUAUUGCAAAUGCAAAAGGAAAAACAGUUCUCAUAGAAUUAAGAGUACUCUGGUCAUUGUUGUUCAUUUGGUCCUGCAAGGUGUUAACCACCUUCACUUCCCAUGUCACAAAAUUAGCCACAAGAGGAGCAGGUGGAUCUUGUUCAUUAUGAGGACUGGUUGGCUUUUCAGGUACGUCGGAUCCUCUUCAAUCAGGAGGUCUCAGUAGGAACAAGACCACUGCAGUCACCAGCCAGGCCAUCAAGAUCAUAGUAGCGCUGAUGCCAUUAUCAUCACAGGGUCCUGGUCAUUCUUGCAAGCAUCUGUCUCUGUGCAGCAGAGUUGGGGCUGCCACAACAGACUGGUCAGCCUUCUCAUCGCAUAUUCAUGAGAACAUAUUCAUAGGGAUCAAGCUCACUUUCUGCCAUGAUUAUCCAGCUUGAUUUUACUUGACUGUUUAAAUACUUCUGGAGGCUGGGAAGUCCAGGAUCAGGGAACUGGCAGAUCUGGUGUCUGAAGAGGACUUGCUGUCUGGUUCAUAGAUGGUGCCUUCUCACCGUGUCCUCAUAGAGUGGAAGGGGCUGUCUUUUUUAUAUUUUAGAUAUAUCUUCUCUAUGUAACAUAUUGAUGAAAAAUUUAUUUUAAUCCCAACUGAUAGCCUGUGUUUAGAUGGGCAUAAUUAGUCUAUGGUUAUUCACUGCGACUGAGGACAUUUUGAGCUUAUUUCAUGACCUUACAGUCUAUACGCCAUGCCUUUGUUUCACCCCCUACCUGCUCAUCUGCUCUCUCUUUUUUUUUUUUUUUGCCUUCCAUUGCAUUAUCUUAUUUCCCUUCCCUUUCUUUUACUGAUAUGGCAAAUAUACAUUCUAUUCUAAUUGUGUUGUUUACAUUUACAAUUUUAACAAAAUACCUAAUUUUAUGUUUUUCCAUAAAACUUGAAAGUUGAUCAUCCUUCUUUCCUUCUCCAAAACAAGAUACAUACUUAAGCAUGUGUAACUUUCUCCAAGAUUUACAUUUGCAGAAUCUGUUAUUGUUGUCUACUCUUUUAGACAUACCUUAUUUAAAAUCCUAAAUAUAGUUCCUACAAUUGUUUGUAGUUUGAGCUUAUUGAGCUCUAUCAAUAUACUUCUUUGCUUAAAAUAUUUGAUUUCCAAUCUUUCCUUCUUGUUGAAGUUAAUCUUUUGAAGUAGUUCUGUGUAGGGGAGAGCACUCAGUCUUUAUAAGAUUGAGUUCAGAAAGUGGCUGUGUAUUUUAGUUGGGCAGUUAUUUUCUUUCAACACUUUUAUACUGUGAUUGCUACUGACAUUUAUUGUUUUUGAAGAUAAAAAUAGCCUGACACUUUUUUUCAUUCUUUGG